GUCAAAACAACACGAUCCAUUUGUUCCCGGUCAUAAUCAUCACCCAGAGAAGGAUCAACAAGGUCCUUAAUGUUAUUGGCUUCAAAUAAAGGCUUGGCCUACAACACAAGAAAUCACAAUGUGCUAAGGCCUCUAAGAUGAUCCAAAGCAUGACGCCCGGUUAUAAUCUCCAAAAGCAAGACCCCAAAGGAAUAAAUAUCAGUUUUCUCGCUUACUAUGCCGUGCAUAAAAUAUUCAGGAGCUAAAUACCUGUCAAUUAAAUGAUCAUGGGUAAACAUUAGAUCAUGAGAACAAACAAUUCUCUAACUAUAGUUUUAGUAGUUUAUCAUAUGUAUAUAUAUUUGCUUACCCCAUUGUGCCUUCAAAUUUUGAUACAUUACGGUGAGUACACAGUUCUGGUAACCAUUUUGCAAGCCCAAAAUCACAAAUCUGGAGAAAUUCUCAAUUAGUAAAAUGGUGAUAUAUCAGAUGAAAUAUAAGUCUCGAACUUAUACUCUAUUAGCAGGGGAUCCAGAAGCAAAGCUUUAAAAUCCACAUCACUAGGUUUCAGCUUCUUUCACCAGCAGAAUAUGUAAUAACAAGGGCAUGGUCCUAGAGUGAUAACUAUGCACGUGUAUCAGAAAAUGAGAAGAAAUGAAGAAGAAGAAAGCAGUAACUUCAUUACAUCAACACAACCACAUAAUACACAUUCAGGGAGCCUAAAUGCCGUUUUACUUGAGAAAAUGUUUCUAUCUUCAAUUUUUCCUUUUACCAAGGUUUUAAAUAACGGUAUGUGACCAUAGUUUCAUCUGUAACUUCAAGGUUUGAGUUAUUCACGAUCACAAUGUGCAUUGGCAGCAUUUGUCUUCAAUUUCUCACAAUAUCAAGUUUGUGAUGAAAUUGCGAAGUGACUACAAUUUAAAACCUUGUGUUUUACUAGUAAUUACAAAGAAGUCUCAUUGUUUAUAAUUGUACAAGUUGUUUUUACUAUUUA